CUACACAUGCAAGUCGAACGGUAGCACAGAGAGCUUGCUCUCGGGUGACGAGUGGCGGACGGGUGAGUAAUGUCUGGGAAACUGCCUGAUGGAGGGGGAUAACUACUGGAAACGGUAGCUAAUACCGCAUAACGUCGCAAGACCAAAGAGGGGGACCUUCGGGCCUCUUGCCAUCAGAUGUGCCCAGAUGGGAUUAGCUAGUAGGUGGGGUAACGGCUCACCUAGGCGACGAUCCCUAGCUGGUCUGAGAGGAUGACCAGCCACACUGGAACUGAGACACGGUCCAGACUCCUACGGGAGGCAGCAGUGGGGAAUAUUGCACAAUGGGCGCAAGCCUGAUGCAGCCAUGCCGCGUGUAUGAAGAAGGCCUUCGGGUUGUAAAGUACUUUCAGCGGGGAGGAAGGUGUUGUGGUUAAUAACCGCAGCAAUUGACGUUACCCGCAGAAGAAGCACCGGCUAACUCCGUGCCAGCAGCCGCGGUAAUACGGAGGGUGCAAGCGUUAAUCGGAAUUACUGGGCGUAAAGCGCACGCAGGCGGUCUGUCAAGUCGGAUGUGAAAUCCCCGGGCUCAACCUGGGAACUGCAUUCGAAACUGGCAGGCUAGAGUCUUGUAGAGGGGGGUAGAAUUCCAGGUGUAGCGGUGAAAUGCGUAGAGAUCUGGAGGAAUACCGGUGGCGAAGGCGGCCCCCUGGACAAAGACUGACGCUCAGGUGCGAAAGCGUGGGGAGCAAACAGGAUUAGAUAC
rnacentral:rRNA from 1 species